AUUCCAGCUCCAAUAGCGUAUAUUAAAGUUGUUGCAGUUAAAACGCUCGUAGUCGGAUUUCGGGGCGGGGCGGCCGGUCUGCCGAUGGGUACGCACUGGUCGCUGCGCUCUUCUUGCCGGAGGCGCGGCCUACUCUUCACUGAGCGGGCCGUGAACUCGGCACGUUUACUUUGAAAAAAUCAGAGUGUUUCAAGCAGGCAGCUCGCUCUUGCAUGGAUUAGCAUGGGAUAAUAAAAUAGGACUUUGGUGCUAUUUUGUUGGUUUCGAACACCAGAGUAAUGAUUAACAGGGACAGUCAGGGGCACUCGUAUUCCGCCGAGAGAGGUGAAAUUCUUAGACCAGCGGAAGACGAACAACUGCGAAAGCAUUUGCCAGGGAUGUUUUCAUCA
rnacentral:rRNA from 1 species